rnacentral:tRNA from 1 species
UGCGAUGAGUGUUCACACAGAUUGGUACGGUUUAUAACGUAAGAGAGCAGAGUGUUCCCAAACACUCACAACUAGUGUCCCGUUCGUCUAGAGGCCUAGGACACCGCCCUUUCACGGCGGUAACAGGGGUUCGACUCCCCUACGGGAUACCAUCUUUAAGCGCAUUUCUUUGAAACAGAAAGUCUUAAGUGCCUUUAAAAAUGGUUACUUCCUUACGAAGUGAUUCGCUCUUUAACAAUUUGGAAAGCUGACGAAUAACAACAAUCCCCUUAUCUACGGAUAAGCGUUGUUAUUCAAUUAAAAGUUCUCAAAUCCUAAAACUGUGUUUUAGGUACCAACACACAUUCAAGUGUUCUUGGAAACAUCCUUGUGAUGUUUAUAUUUGAGUCCGGCAAAAUCGAAUGUCUCUCGCUCAUUCAAUAAUGAGAGACAAAACCUUGGUUGUUUGAACAUACAAGACCUCUUGGG